ACGGGUUGAUAUUUUUUAUUCAUACAAUUCCACGAAGAUAAUUUUAUCUCGGUUUUAAUUCUCAAUGUAGCGUCCUGGCUAUCAUUUACUUUGUGAUAGUCAUGAUAUCAAUUCCCCGAGCUAAUUCAGUUCAUUCUUAGACUUCAAUAUGAGUGAUUCCGGCCGUUUUUUCCUGGGAAUUCCCUCCACAAUAAUAUUUUUCCAAAUACAUCUUAUUUUUCAGACACAUGGUUUCCUAGACCUGAAUACAGAAGACGUGGAUGAUUUUUCUGCCCCACAUUUACGCCCUCUUAAGAUCUCGGAGGAUGCGACACUGCCUUACAGGCCCUUCGAUAUGCUUCGCAACAGUAACCUCUUCAUCGACCAGACGGCCUUUAUCGAUACUUUCAUGGGCUCAGAGGAUGACCGCGUGAUUUUCUGCGCACCUCGGGGGUUCGGGAAAUCGACGAUUUUGGACAUGUUAAAACGCUUUUUAGAAAUCGACACCCACGAGAAUGGAACCAAAAAAACCGACAAACGCACCCAUAAAAAUUACCGAACAUUCGCGGAUACGAUCCCUAGCACGGGUGCACAUUUACACAUCUUCCAGCAAAAAAAGUUCUUUGAAAGUAAUUUUGGGGAGCACCCGGUCAUUUUCCUUGACUUCGACACAAAAGGCAAUAAAACACAUGAUUCACCAUCAUUUCUGCGAUUUCUUCUCAAUGGUCCCAUUAAAUCAGCGUUUUUAGACCACGCUUAUUUGAUACAUUCGCCGAUAAUAUCUAAUGAAGAAAAAGGACGAAUGCGACGAUACCUGCAGCAUACCCAGGAUCUUCACGAGAUAUAUCGUAAGGUUACUGACGGUAUUAUACUCCUGAAGAGACUUUUACGGAAGCAGUUCCAGAAACAGCCCAUUAUUUUGGUGGACAACAUUGACUCUCAGAUUUACGAGUUGCUCUUUGACUCAGAUCCAAGGCAACGUUCUAAUGAUGCAUUGGAUAAACUGAAGUGUCUUGAAGAUGAUUUAAAAGAUUGCUUAGCUGAUCACGCUGCCUUGAAAUCCUUCAUUACAGGAGUUCUACGACAGGGCCUAUUCCCGGAGGGUCUUAUUCAGAGCAUGACACGUUCUGACGAGUUCGCGAAAUUCUUCAGUCUAUCGAAGUCCCAAGUGGCAGGACUGAUAGCGGCAUGGGGAAUAAAUCAGACGGUGGACCAACUAGACACUUGGUAUGGCUUACAAUUAAACCAGGUCGGCACCUGGUUGCCUCGAAACGCCGUCAAGCCGAUAACACGGCAGUUCAAUCCGUACUCCAUCUACAGGUUCUUGCUGAGUGGUUCGACGAGGCUGAGAUCUUACUGGACCGAGCUGGACUCACUGUUGACGUUCCCAGCGGCUUUCUUACCGGAGUGUUUCGGACAGCACUUGCUGGAGUGUUUCAAAGAGUGCACCGCCUUAAUGCCCUUUGCCAGUGCCUGGGUUGUUGCAGACGGAUGGACAGACAGAUUGGUGAAGGGACUACAGGAGUUGCGGAGAACUGGCGAGUGCACGAGCCUUACGCGUGCCGCUCUUACUUUGUAUCUCAUGAAUAGUGGCUACUUGUUUCCUUCGGCAGCAUCUCCUGCCACCUACACCUACCAGAUACCGAAUCAAGAGGUAAAACAACACGUCUCGAAGUUGCUCAUGGCUGUGACGACGAGCAAAUGCCCAAUACACGGAAACAAACAAUUCCGGGACGACUUGUUCGAGGCGCUCUUCGACGUGGACGGUUCCCACCUGAACAUGCGCCGGUUUCUGGACAUGUUGGUCGUGGUCCUUGUGGCCGAAGAACGGAAGGGACCAGUUCCGGCGACGACGCUAGCGCACUCCCUCCGGGUUCAACUCAUCAACCCCCCACGGCUCCCAAAUAAAUUCAACGUCACAUACGUGGACACGAGCAUGAUCGAGGAACAGACGAACCAGCACCUCUGGCGUGACAGCCAAGAGAGCGCAGGUCCGGCUUUCCAUCUGGUUUUCGGGCUUCGGAAGAGAGAGGUCUUGAUGGCGUUCGCUAUCCAUAUGGAGCUUGGGAACGAGUUACAACCGAAGAAUGGGACACUAACCGAGGCGCAUUUGAAGGUUUUCGAAUCGCGGGAAGAAUUGAAAAAUGCGAGUGCGAAAUUGGCGGCGAGUUUUCGCGGGAACAACCAGUCUUGUUGGCUCAAUUACCUAUGGAACGGGGACAGCCUACAAGACGAAAGGUACCUGAUCGUCGAGAAGAGGACGCUUCAAAUACAAGCUGAGGCUAGAUGGGAUCAUUCUUGAGCCGAAUCAGAUCAAAUAUAUAAUCAGAAGAUGAGCAAUCUGUUCCGUGUCUCAUUAGAUACUUGAUACUCUUAAACCAGCGGCCAUCAACCUGAUUUAAUACUACUGCUUGGGUAACCAACAGUUUCAAUUAAAUUAGAUUCAAGUUUCAAGCAAGUGUCACGAUUAAAUUACGGAAAUCAGAGGUUGCGAAAAAUACAAGUACCUAGGUGUGCGCUUAACAUCAGGUGGCAAAUUGGACCAGGCAUUCAAAGAUGGUAAUCUACACUGCCGUGCUAAGGAAAAACGCCGUAUGAGCCAUCAGACGUUGCCAAAUUUCCUUCGAUGAAACACGAAUUUCUUUGGAAACUUCCGAGUAUUUUCCUUCCAAUUUUUUAGAUGAUUUGAUUUGCAAUUUCACCGGUCAAAGGACAUUGCGUCAACGAUUUUUUGUCCGCGCACUUGUUUUUUCCAGUAAUUUACGUCCACGCGUUUUCCCGGCACGGGAGUUUUGGUCCACGUGCCAGUUGAGACCCAAAGUUAAUUGGCCCAAAUGUAA